GUAGCCCAGUUGUAGAGCAUCUGCCUUGCCUUCAGAAGGUCCCAGGUUCAAUCCUUGGAAUAUCCA